rnacentral:lncRNA from 1 species
CUUGAUAAAAAAAUUUCUUUAAGGGAUUUAAGAUUUUUUAAAAACGUUUUGAAAAACUCCCCUUAAACUCUACAUGGUAAAACUCUUCAAUUAAUGCAUCCUAAUCCAACACAACACAACAAGACAUAUAUUAGCCAAAUAUAUUAAGUAAGCACAAUCAAACAUAUACAUAUCAAGCACAAGCGAAUUUAUCCAUAUGAUAUUUCUCUCUUUUUGUCAUAACAAAAAGGCAUGAACAAAUAUAUUCAUGAAACAUUUCUCUCCUUUUUUAUUUAAUCUCUUUAUACCAAAUAUUAAAGCUCCUAUACUAAUAGUUAUAAACAUACAAAAAGAAAUAUUUAUAAACUCUCCCAUUUUUUUAUCAUUGUAAAAGAAAAAAAGAUCACUUCAAGAAAUGGGAUAACAUGCUUGAUACCAAUAAUAUCAAGAGCAUUUUGAAUGCAUGUAAUCAAGUGUCAUAUACAUAAUAAAGUUCACAAACAUGUACUCAAGUACAAAAGCACAAGUGUAUCCAAUUAAAAUGUUAUAGCACAAAAUCAUUCAUUCAACCUAACCACAUAAAAUAUAUGAGCAAGAAAUAAUAAAUGAUAUGCAACAUACUCAUAAAUCAUG